CCUACGGGCGGCAGCAGUGGGGGAUAUUGCACAAUGGGGGAAACCCUGAUGCAGCGACGCCGCGUGAGCGAUGGAGUAUUUCGGUGUGUAAAGCUCUAUCAGCAGGGAAGAAAGUGGCGGUACCUGGCUAAGAAGCCCCGGCGAACUAAGUGCCAGCAGCCGCGGUAAUACGGAGGGGGCAAGCGGUAUCCGGGUUUACUGGGUGUAAAGGGGGCGUAGACGGUCCUGCAAGCCAGAUGUGAAAGCCCGGGGCUCAACCCCGGGACUGCAUUUGGAACUGUAAGGCUAGAGUGCCGGAGAGGCAGGCGGAAUUCCUGGUGUAGCGGUGAAAUGCGUAGAUAUUAGGAGGAACACCAGUGGCGAAGGCGGCCUGCUGGACGAUGACUGACGUUGAGGCUCGAAAGCGUGGGGAGCAAACAGGAUUAGAUACCCCGGUAGUC
rnacentral:rRNA from 1 species